rnacentral:rRNA from 1 species
UUCUAAUAGAAAUAAUUAUUAGUAUAAUCUGCUCAAUGAAAUUUCUAUAGCCGCAAUUUAUUGUGCUAAGGUAGCAUAAUCAUUUGUCUUUUAAUUAAAGACUAGAACGAAAGAUAUUACAAUUAAAUUUCUUUUUUUAAUAAAAAUUUUUAAAUUAUAUUAAACAUAAAAAUAUGUUUAUCAUAUAAAUAGACGAUAAGACCCUAUUGAACUUAACUUUAGUUUUACUGGGGUAGUAAAUUAAAUAUUAUUUUAAUAUAAAUAUUUACACAAGUAUCCAAUAAAAUUGAUAUAAACAAGUUACCAUAGGGAUAACAGCGCAAUAAAUUUCUAAAGAUCUUAUUUAAAAAUUUGAUUACGACCUCGAUGUUGAAUAUUUAUUCUUAUUCACGCAAUCGUGAAAUCAAAGAAAGUCUGUUCGACUUUUAAUUAACUACA